UUGAAUCACAUUUAUUUUAAUGAAAACUAACUUUUAUUUUUAGGGGUAUCUAACUAUCAAGUUGAAGAAGAUAUAGGAAAGUUGAAGUCUUGUCUCACUGGCUUCCUUCAGGAAUAUGGUUUAUCUGUAAUGGUGAAAGAUGAUUAUGUCCAUGAAUUGUGAGUAUAUUUUAGGGUAUCUAGGAGAUGAUUCCACACCUGUCAUAAGGCUAAUCAAAAUUCAUGUCUCUGUGGUCUCCUCUAGUUGCCGAUAUGGAGCUGCUGAGCCACAUACCAUUGCUGCAUUCUUGGGGGGAGCUGCUGCUCAAGAGGUCAUCAAAAUAAUCACCAAACAAUUUGUAAUUUUUAAUAAUACUUACAUUUACAGUGGCAUGUCACAAACUUCAGCAACUUUCCAGUUGUAGAGUAAGCACCUUAGGUAGUGUGUUAAUGAUUGAAACUGUAAUUGCCUUUGGGUUGUGCUUUAGUCUGUAAAAUUCUAAAGGAGAGCUGCUAAAUUGUUUACUUAAUAAACAUUUUUCUCAUUUGU
rnacentral:sRNA from 1 species